rnacentral:rRNA from 1 species
UACGUAGGGUGCAAGCGUUAAUCGGAAUUACUGGGCGUAAAGCGUGCGCAGGCGGUUUUGUAAGUCUGUCGUGAAAUCCCCGGGCUCAACCUGGGAACUGCAUCUGUGACUGCAUCGCUGGAGUACGGUAGAGGGGGAUGGAAUUCCGCGUGUAGCAGUGAAAUGCGUAGAUAUGUGGAGGAAUACCGAUGGCGAAGGCAGCCCCCUGGGAUAACACUGACGCUCAUGCACGAAAGCGUGGGGAGCAAACAGG